UGUCCGGACAUUUGGACCGUUGCGAUCGGUUGUGGUCCAUGGCAAAGCCCGGACAUAUUUGACCUUCUACUAUUUUUUUGAUAAAAUCGUUCACUGGAGCGUUCUGGAGUUAAAAACCGGGAACCGAUCAUCGCUGUUAUGGUAUUAUUUUGUUUCCGACGAAGACUUGUAUGCUAAAAAUACGUGGCAUGCCCAUCGGCUCAGCUAUUGCGUGGAUGGGAACUAUACGUUAGAAUUCACCGCUAAUUUCAACAUGCACGUACCUGACACCACCGGAUUUUGGAUUGACGAUCUGGUCCUGGAAGCUGAAACAACGCACUCCGGUGUGUCGUCUGAAAGUUGCAACAGUGACGCUGCUCCGCAUGCACCUAUGACGCCGUCGCUUACCUGCGACGGAACCUACAUGUUUACCAGCACUGCGACUCUCACGUUCUGCAGCUGACAGAUUAGCAGCCAUCCUGACGUGACCCUGAAGAACGAGCUACUCACUCGCAAUUUCGGCAACGUCCAGUAUGCCUACAAUACGAGGGCGCUGUCAUAUUAUGCCCAUUCUCACAACACCAACAUAACACUCCAGCUAAAAAGUCCGGUGGUGGAGACACGUAGUGGUGGUCACUUGCAUCUCUGGUAUUAUCGCCGGCGACCCAUCCUGAUCCGCGUGACGGCACAAGACACUGACGCAAGCACUGCUCCUGUUCAACUGUUCUCCCGCCAACAUCGAGAUCUAAAAAGGAGGGAGUGGUGCCGCGCAGUGUUUCCUUUGCGUAUCACCGGCUACGCGCAAAUCACCGUUACCGUUACUUUUCUCGCGUUAAGCCAGGACCCUAACCAGACUGAUCCAGGG